GUCCACGCCGUAAACGAUGGGCACUAGGCGUCGGGGGGAGGCGACCCUCCCGGUGCCGUAGCUAACGCAAUAAAGUGCCCCGCCUGGGGAGGUACGGCCGCAAGGUUGAAACUCAAAGGAAAUUGACGGGGGCCCGCACAAGCGGUGGAGCAUGUGGUUUAAUUCGAUGCAACGCGAAGAACCUUACAUGGGCUUGACAUGCACGUGAAAGCUGGUGGAAACACCGGUCCUCCUUCGGGACGCGUGCACAGGUGCUGCAUGGCUGUCGU
rnacentral:rRNA from 1 species